GAUGAACGCUGGCGGCGUGCCUAAUACAUGCAAGUCGAGCGAACAGACCAGGAGCUUGCUCCUCUGACGUUAGCGGCGGACGGGUGAGUAACACGUGGAUAACCUACCUAUACGACUGGGAUAACUUCGGGAAACCGGAGCUACUACCGGAUAAUAUAUUGAACCGCAUGGUUCAAUAGUGAAAGACGGUUUUGCUGUCACUUAUAGAUGGAUCCGCGCCGCAUUAGCUAGUUGGGAAGGUAACGGCUUACCAAGGCAACGAUGCGUACCCGACCUGAACGGGUGAUCGCCCACACUGGAACUGAGACACGUUCCAGACUCCGACGGGAGGCAGCAGUAGGGAAUCUUCCGCAAUGGGCGAAAGCCUGACGGAGCAACACCGCGUGAGGGAUGAAGGUCUUCGGAUCGGAAAACUCUGUUAGUAGGGAAGAACAAAUGUGUAAGUAACUAUGCACGUCUUGACGGUACCUAAUCAGAAAGCCACGGCUAACUACGUG
rnacentral:rRNA from 1 species